rnacentral:rRNA from 1 species
UACGUAGGGGGCAAGCGUUAUCCGGAUUUACUGGGUGUAAAGGGAGCGCAGACGGCGAUGCAAGUCUGAUGUGAAAUGCGGGGGCUCAACCCCCGAACUGCAUUGGAAACUGUAUUGCUAGAGUGCCGGAGGGGUAAGCGGAAUUCCUAGUGUAGCGGUGAAAUGCGUAGAUAUUAGGAGGAACACCAGUGGCGAAGGCGGCUUACUGGACGGUAACUGACGUUGAGGCUCGAAAGCGUGGGGAG